CGCUGGCGGCGCGCCUAACACAUGCAANUCGAGCGAGAACCGGAGCUUCGGCUCCGGGGACAGCGGCGAACGGGUGAGUAACACGUGGAUAACCUGCCCUCGGCACCGGAAUAGCCCGGGGAAACCCGGAUUAAUGCCGGAUGGCCCCACAUCCCUGCGGGGAACGUGGGAAAAGGUAGCUUCGGCCUCUGGCCGAGGAUGGGUCCGCGGUGGAUUAGCUUGUUGGUGGGGUAAUGGCCCACCAAGGCGACGAUCCAUAGCUGGUCUGAGAGGACGAUCAGCCACACUGGGUCUGAGACACGGCCCAGACUCCUACGGGAGGCAGCAGUGGGGAAUCUUGCGCAAUGGGCGAAAGCCUGACGCAGCGACGCCGCGUGCGGGAAGAAGGCCUUAGGGUUGUAAACCGCUUUCAGGAGGGACGAAGCCACUCGGGUGAAUAGCCCAGAGGGUGACGGUACCUCCAGAAGAAGCCCCGGCUAACUACGUGCCAGCAGCCGCGGUAAUACGUAGGGGGCAAGCGUUGUCCGGAUUCAUUGGGCGUAAAGAGCGUGUAGGCGGCCAGGUAGGUCGGUUGUGAAAACUGGAGGCUCAACCUUCAGAGGUCGAC
rnacentral:rRNA from 1 species